UAGCCUUGCAGGUACCUCUAAUGCAAAAAGGUCAAAGAAACAAACUGUCUUGCUCAUGAUUGGAUCAGGAAGGUUCAUGUGUUGUUGUCUUUACCUAUUAUCUGCCCAGACAUAUAAAAAAAGUGACAUUCGACGGCUAGUUCGUGCUUCAUGCUUACUAGGUCGUGCUUUAUGCCUAGAAGGGAAAGAAACUGGUUUGAGCUUAAUGGCCAUAUACCUCUGCGAACGGGAUAACCGACGGAAAUAUACCCUUUACUAGCCUAAAGGACCAUACUGCUGGAUCCAGUAUUGAGACGCAGGAAACCAUCACCUUUGAUAGCUGAAUUGUGGUGUCUGGCUUCCCUCAAAGAUAUUGGCAUUUACCGGCGUUCGUGUCCAAACAACAACAUGCAAAAGCGAAGCAUAUGAGAGAAAAAAAAGUAAAGAAAACUUUUAAAUGUCAUGAAUUUGUGUGGUACUUUCACAUUCCAUGCACUCCGGAUAAAAUUAAGAUAACAAGAGAAAAAAUAAAGAAUGAAGUUUAUAAAUAUACACUUUUACUUUUGGAAACUAUGUCAUUAACUUUUGCUAAUAAAGUCUAACGAAUAAUGUU